rnacentral:rRNA from 1 species
AACGAACGCUGGCGGCAUGCCUAACACAUGCAAGUCGAACGAGACCUUCGGGUCUAGUGGCGCACGGGUGCGUAACGCGUGGGAACCUGCCCUUAGGUUCGGAAUAACUCCCCGAAAGGGGUGCUAAUACCGGAUAAUGUCUUCGGACCAAAGAUUUAUCGCCUUUGGAUGGGGCCGCGUUAGAUUAGCUAGUUGGUAGGGUAAAAGCCUACCAAGGCGACGAUCCAUAGCUGGUCUGAGAGGAUGAUCAGCCACACUGGGACUGAGACACGGCCCAGACUCCUACGGGAGGCAGCAGUGGGGAAUAUUGGACAAUGGGCGAAAGACUGAGCCAGCAAUGCCGCGUGAGUGAUGAAGGCCUUAGGGUUGUAAAGCUCUUUUACCCGGGAUGAUAAUGACAGUACCGGGAGAAUAAGCGCCGGCUAACUCCGUG